rnacentral:rRNA from 1 species
AGAACGAACGCUGGCGGCAGGCCUCAAACAUGCAAGUCUAGGGGGUGUAGCAAUACAUCACCGGCGGACGGGUGCGUAACACGUGGGAAUGUACCUAUUGGUUCGGAACAACGCAGGGAAACUUGCGCUAAUACCGAAUGUGCCCGAAAGGGGAAAGAUUUAUCGCCAAUAGAUCAGCCCGCGUAGGAUUAGCUAGUUGGUGAGGUAAUGGCUCACCAAGGCUCCGAUCCUUAGCUGUUCUGAGAGGAAGAUCAGCCACACUGGGACUGAGACACGGCCCAGACUCCUACGGGAGGCAGCAGUUGGGAAUCUUGGACAAUGGGCGAAAGCCUGAUCCAGCCAUGCCGCGUGAGUGAUGAAGGCCUUCGGGUUGUAAAACUCUUUCGACGGGGACGAUAAUGACGGUACCCGUAGAAGAGCUCCGGCUAACUUCGUGCCAGCAGCCGC